rnacentral:tRNA from 1 species
GCCGGUGUGGCGGAAUGGCAGACGCAUCGCACUCAAAAUGCGACGGGAAACCGUGCCGGUUCAAGUCCGGCCACCGGCACCA